GUCUAUGGCCAUGCCACCCUAAACGUGCACGAUCUUGUCUGAUCUUGGAAGCUAAGCAGGGCUGGGCCUGGUGAGUACUUGGAUGGGAGAUCACCUAGGAAUACCAGGUGCUGUAGGCA
rfam:Pteropus alecto contig4853, whole genome shotgun sequence.